rnacentral:rRNA from 1 species
UACAGAGACCUCAAGCGUUAUCCGGAAUCAUUGGGCGUAAAGCGUACCGAUAGGUGGUUUUACAAGUCAGAAGUGAAAUCUCAAAGCUUAACUUUGAGUCUGUCUUUUGAAACUGUAAAACUAGAGGGGCAAAGAGGAAGCUGGAACGAACGGUGUAGUAGUGAAAUGCGUUGAUAUCGUUCGGAACACCAAUAGCGUAGGCAAGCUUCUGGGUGCCACCUGACACUGCUAGGACGAAAGCGUGGGGAGCGAAUGGG